GCAAGAUGGCGGCUCCCGGUGCACUUCUCCGUCAGGGAGGGGCUGCUAUUCUCAGGUGCCGAUCUGGAUUCAGGGAGUAUACUGGAAGGCAACUCAAGUUGAUGAGAGCUUCUGCUUUAGAAUCUCACGUGGUUCAGCAGCGUUAGUCCCACACUCCAUUGAAAAGGCCCAACAAACAGUGAAAAGAAAUGGACUUGAAAGCAACGUAUUGCAAUGCUGAAGACAAAGUAUUGGCUGGAAUGGUAUAUAUUUGGACAGUCAUAACUAUGAUAUUAAAGGAGACAGGCCACGUCUGACCUGCUGUUGAUAUAACCAUAGGCUGGCAACACAUGCCUCAAGAGCCGCACAACCUUCCAUCAUUCAAGAUUCGUGGAGGACAGAUGUUUUCCAUCAGAGUGAUAGUAUUUUUACACUGCUUUCAUUAAACUGUCAUUUCUUAAACUGCUUCAAUUUCAGGCGCCUUUUAUCGCUUUGUUAGUUUUAAUGCAUCUCUCUAUACGUUGGAUGACAGAGACGUAGCCCUGACUUUAAUUGUGUGUAUAUUUCCCAAAAAUUGGGCCAUACACACUCACAGGAGCCCCCUCUGGAAUUGCACCUAAUUGUGAAGUGAAAGCAAUAUGGGAGCAAGCACCAUAAAGAUCACUAGUUAUUCAUGACGUGGAGACUGAGAAGUAUUAUGUAUGUAUUAAAAUGCUUUGAAGUGAAACAUUUAUGCAACUCACUUUGAAAGAAUCAAUAACUUUGAUAUAUUAGUGCAGUUGAAAAUACUGUUCACUUAGCACAAAAUGGAUGUAAGACAGAAAUAAAAUGAAUGUUCAAAACCAACAGCUAUCUGGCAAACUCAAAAAACACCAUCAGUACAAUUGAACUAAAUGAUCCUUUCUGCAACUUCCUCUUUAAUGCAAAGGUUUAAAAGUGUCCAUUGUAUAUCAUUUUGAUAUUAAAUGGCAAUAUUUACUUGAAUUUCCUCAGUUAGAUUUAUUUUAUUUUAUUCUAUUGUUUUCAUGACUUAUAAGGUACAACCAUUAGAAUCUUAGUUCAAACGUAGGCUUAGAAGGGGAAAUUUAUUCCUAAACCAUAAUUAGUAGAGAAUGGUGACUGUUUGAACCAUUAUGCAUAAGAGUUAAUUGAUGAGAGAGAACC
rnacentral:lncRNA from 1 species